rnacentral:rRNA from 1 species
GAGUUUGAUCCUGGCUCAGGAUGAACGCUAGCGGCAGCUUAAUACAUGCAAGUCGAACGGUAAAUAAUAGCAAUAUUAUGAGAGUGGCGCACGGGGAGUAACACGUAUGUAACCUACCCAUUACUGGGGCAUAGCUUCGAGAAAUCGAAAUUAAUCCCCAUAAUAUUUUAAUCAGGCAUCUGGUUUUAAUUAAAGAAUUUCGGUAAUGGAUGGCAUGCGGCCCAUUAGCUAGUUGGUAGAGGUAACGGCCUACCAAGGCUACGAUGGGUAGCGGUYUGAGAGGAUGAUCAGCCACACUGGCACUGAGACACGGGCCAGACUCCUACGGGAGCAGCAGUAGGGAAUAUUGGGCAAUGGGCGAAAGCCUGACCCAGCCANGCCGCGUGCAGGUUGACAGCUCUAUGAGUUGUAAACUGCUUUUAUUUGGAACGAAAAAAACCGAUUCUUCGGAACUGACGGUACCAGAUGAAUAAGCACCGGCUAACUACGUGCCAGCAGCCGCGGUAAU